rnacentral:rRNA from 1 species
CCUACGGGCGGCUGCAGUGGGGAAUAUUGCACAAUGGGCAACCCUGAUGCAGCAACGCCGCGUGGGUGAAGGCGCGUUUCGGCGCGUCAAGCCCUGUCAGCGGGGAAGAAGAAAGACGGUACCCGACCAAGCAGCCCCGGCUAACUACGUGCCAGCAGCCGCAGUAAUACGUCGGGGGCGCGCGUUAUCCGGGAUUACUGGGUGUAAAGGGGGCGUAGACGGCGAGGUAAGCCUGAAGGGGAAGCCCGCGGCCCAACCGCGGAACUGCUUUGGGAACUGGUAUGCUGGAGUAUGGGAGAGGUAAGCGGAAUUCCUGGUGUAGCGGUGAAAUGCGUAGAUAUCAGGAGGAACACCGGUGGCGAAGGCGGCUUACUGGACCAUAACUGACGUUGAGGCUCGAAAGCGUGGGGAGCGAACAGGAUUAGAUACCCCUGUAGUC